UAAAGAGCCAUUCAUCAUUCGCAACCUCACCACUCACUGCUCCAACCCAUAUUUCAUGGCCAAUUUAAUGUCUUCUCAUCCCGUAUCAUGAGACGGCCGGCCAAGGCUUCAUCUGCAACUCGGCAUGCCCACCUUGUACAGGUUGGCAGAGUAGAAGACCAAGAGACAGUUGGUACCAUAAUAAUUAGUGUCUCCACAUGAUGCUUACCUAA
rnacentral:lncRNA from 1 species